AGACUGGAGUGGUUGUGGUCUAGUGCUGUGUGGAAGACUAGUGAUUUUGUUGUUCUGAUGUACUAUGACAACAAGUCACAGCUUCCUCAUAGCGUGGACUCCCGUCGGCCUCUGCCUGA
rnacentral:pre_miRNA from 12 species